AGCCACAGAGCAUUCAGCAUUCGUACAAGCAGUGGAAGAAAAUGGCCAGCAAGAAGAUGGUCGUCCUCGUGGCGGCGCUCCUCGUCGUCGCCGUGGCGCUGGAGGCCGCCCCUCGGGUGAGCGCCGCCAUGGACUGCAAGGCCGGGUGCGCCGAGCUCAAGGACUCCCCGCUCGGCGGCGCCGCCGACUGCGAGAAGAAAUGCUUGGAGAUCGCCGCCACCAAGGGGCCCUCGGACCCCAACAAGGCGGCUAAGUGGGACAUCCCGUAAGCACGAGGGAGGGCUCGUCGAUCGUCCACGUCCGUCCUUCGCCACCGCCACGGCAUCGAUGGAUCUCUACACGCGCAAUAAUGUUGUUUUCCGAUUCAUUUCCUGUCCGAUUCUUCUUUUUUCUUUUACAUUGAGCAAAUCACAUCUACCGAUCGACCUGUAAUAGUGUUUUUUUAAUGUUGCUCAAGAUGUUUCUUAGUUUUGUAUUAUUAGACAAAUAAAUUACUCCAGAGGCAAUGGAGCAGGUUUUAUUGUUUUUUCA